ACUCAAAUGAAUUGACGGGGGCCCGCACAAGCGGUGGAGCAUAUGGCUUAAUUCGAUGCAACGCGAAGAACCUUACCAGGGCUUGACAUGCAACUGCACGCUGUAGAGAUACAGUUCUUUCGAAGGUGUUGCACAGGUGGUGCAUGGCUGUCGUCAGCUCGUGUCGUGAGAUGUUGGGUUAAGUCCCGCAACGAGCGCAACCCUCACGGUCUGUUACCAGCGGAUAAUGCCGGGGACUCGGACUGAACUGCCUCUGUAAAGAGGAGGAAGGUGGGGAUGACGUCAAGUCAUCAUGCCCCUUACGCCCUGGGCUGCACAUAUGCUACAAUGGCCGGUACAAAGAGCUGCGAGCACGCGAGUGUCAGCAAAUCUCAAAAAGCCGGUCUCAGUUCGGAUUGGAGUCUGCAACUCGACUCCAUGAAGUCGGAAUCGCUAGUAAACGCCGGUCAGCAAUACGGCGUUGAAUACGUUCCCGGGCCUUGCACACACCGCCCGU
rnacentral:rRNA from 1 species